rnacentral:rRNA from 1 species
UACGAACCGUCCAAACGUUAUUCGGAUUUAUUGGGCUUAAAGGGUAUGUAGGCGGCCCUUCAAGUCGGGUGUGAAAGCCCUCGGCUCAACCGAGGAACUGCGCCCGAUACUGUGGGGCUUGAGGGAGACAGAGGUAAGCGGAACUGAUGGUGGAGCGGUGAAAUGCGUUGAUAUCAGGAGGAACACCUGCGGUGUAGACGGCUUACUGGACCAUAACUGACGCUGAGGCACGAAAGCGUGGGUAGCAAACAGG